rnacentral:rRNA from 1 species
UACAGAGGUCCCAAGCGUUGUUCGGAUUCACUGGGCGUAAAGGGUGCGUAGGCGGUCGGGUAAGUCUGACGUGAAAUCUCCAAGCUCGACUUGGAAAUGGCGUCGGAUACUAUUCGGCUGGAGGAAUGGAGGGGAGACUGGAAUUCUCGGUGUAGCAGUGAAAUGCGUAGAUAUCGAGAGGAACACCAGUGGCGAAGGCGAGUCUCUGGACAUUUCCUGACGCUGAGGCACGAAAGCCAGGGGAGCAAACGGG